rnacentral:rRNA from 1 species
GAUGAACGCUAGCGGCAGGCUUAACACAUGCAAGUCGAGGGGCAGCAUGAGGGUUAGCAAUAACCCUUGAUGGCGACCGGCGCAAGGGUGCGUAACGCGUGAGCAACUUGCCCGUUUCUGGGGAAUAACCGGUGGAAACGCCGACUAAUACCCCAUAGCAUCAGGUUUUGGCAUCAUAAUCUGAUUAAAGAAUUUCGGAAACGGAUAGGCUCGCGUGACAUUAGCUGGAGGGCGGGGUAACGGCCCACCAUGGCGACGAUGUCUAGGGGUUCUGAGAGGAAGGUCCCCCACACUGGAACUGAGACACGGUCCAG